GCUAGGCACCGCGCUGCUUCCCUCUGCUCUCCCUCACUGUACUAUCCGGAGCUCCAAGCUCAGCCUCUGCUCUGGAGAAAACUGAGAAUGGAGCAGUACAGAAUGUAGCCAGAAGGAUGGUUCCACGACUCCCACCCAGGGUGAGAAAGAAGAGCUGUUUUCCAAUGGUUGCCAUAGACGGGUGAGAUAGAAGAGGAAGGAGGUGAGAGACUGCAAAAUUCUG